AAAUAAACUGGCCAUCUUCCAAACCAUACACCAGCAUAUAAUCAAUCAAACUCACUUUUAGAAACUGCUUGGACCAAAACCAAGGAAUCUGAUUCAAAAUCCACAGCCCUCUAGUUGUGCAGCUUGAUCCAACUGACGGCCUCCCAAAAACUCAAAGCCUCAGCUUGAAGGGAAUUCAGGUUGCUCGACGCAGGACACGUCUUAGCCACAGUCAUCUGCCCAACUUCGUUUCUCAGAUCCAACCAUGACCCACCCUAUUUCGCUAGUUGCAAAU
rnacentral:misc_RNA from 1 species